GAUGAACGCUGGCGGCGUGCCUAAUACAUGCAAGUCGAGCGAACAGACGAGGAGCUUGCUCCUCUGACGUUAGCGGCGGACGGGUGAGUAGCACGUGGAUAACCUACCUAUAAGACUGGGAUAACUUCGGGAAACCGGAGCUAAUACCGGAUAAUAUAUUGAACCGCAUGGUUCAAUAGUGAAAGACGGUUUUGCUGUCACUUAUAGAUGGAUCCGCGCCGCAUUAGCUAGUUGGUAAGGUAACGGCUUACCAAGGCAACGAUGCGUAGCCGACCUGAGAGAGUGAUCGGCCACACUGGAACUGAGACACGGUCCAGACUCCUACGGGAGGCAGCAGUAGGGAAUCUUCCGCAAUGGGCGAAAGCUUGACGGAGCAACGCCGCGUGAGUGAUGAAGGUCUUCGGAUCGUAAAACUCUGUUAUUAGGGAAGAACAAAUGUGUAAGUAACUAUGCACGUCUUGACGGUACCUAAUCAGAAAGCCACGGCUAACUACGUG
rnacentral:rRNA from 1 species